UACGUAGGGUGCGAGCGUUAAUCGGAAUUACUGGGCGUAAAGCGUGCGUAGGCGGUUCGUUAAGUCAGCUGUGAAAGCCCCGGGCUCAACCUGGGAAUUGCGGUUGAAACUGGCGAACUAGAAUCUGGCAGAGGGGGGGGUGGAAUUCCGCGUGUAGCAGUGAAAUGCGUAGAUAUGCGGAGGAACACCGAUGGCGAAGGCAAUCCCCUAGACCUGUACUGACGCUCAUGCACGAAAGCGUGGGGAGCAAACAGG
rnacentral:rRNA from 1 species